AUGUACGGCCAUACCACCCUGAACACGCCCGUUCUCAUCUGAUCUCGGUAGCUAAGCAGGAUUGGUCCUAGUUAGUACUGGGAUGGGAGACCACCUGGAAAUAUAGGAUGUUUUAGGCU
ensembl:rRNA 5S_rRNA 5S ribosomal RNA